GACAGAGGGUGCAAACGUUGUUCGGAAUUACUGGGCGUAAAGCGCGUGUAGGCGGCUGCGCAAGUCGGAUGUGAAAUCCCAUGGCUCAACCAUGGAAGUGCACCCGAAACUGCGCAGCUAGAGUCUCGGAGAGGAAGGUGGAAUGCUUGGUGUAGAGGUGAAAUUCGUAGAUAUCAAGCGGAACACCGGUGGCGAAGGCGGC
rnacentral:rRNA from 1 species